rnacentral:rRNA from 1 species
GAUGAACGCUAGCGGGAGGCCUAAUACAUGCAAGUCGAACGGUAACAGGAUAGCAAUAUCGCUGACGAGUGGCGCACGGGUGCGUAACACGUACACAAUCUGCCUUAUACUGGAGCAUACCCCCAAGAAAUUGGGACUAAUUCUCCAUAACAUAUUUGGAUGGCAUCAUUUGAAUAUUAAAACUCCGGUGGUAUAAGAUGAGUGUGCGUCCGAUUAGGUAGUUGGUGAGGUAACGGCUCACCAAGCCAACGAUCGGUAGCUGGUCUGAGAGGACGAUCAGCCACACGGGCACUGAGACACGGGCCCGACUCCUACGGGAGGCAGCAGUAGGGAAUAUUGGACAAUGGGCGCAAGCCUGAUCCAGCCAUCCCGCGUGAAGGAUUAAGGCCCUCUGGGUUGUAAACUUCUUUUCUCUGGGAAUAAAAAGUGGGAUUCUUCCCGCCUUGAAGGUACCAGAGGAAUAAGCACCGGCUAACUCCGUGCCAGCAGCCGCGGUAAGAC